AUGGUCAAUUCCGGAGGCAACAACGAGGAGGUGUACUAUGUGGACGUGCUCAACAAAGAUCUCUUAGAGAUUCAUCGGUAUACCAUCAACAGUCUGCAAGAGGUGAAUGCCUCUCUAAAGGCGGAGAUUAAAGAGCUGCGCAACAAGAGUGUUCAACUCAUUCAAAAUACUAAUAAGCUGAGGGACGAGAGGGAUAAGCUGAUCGAGGAGAGGGUUGAGAUGAAGCAGGAGAGAAAACUCCUCGGGGUAGAGAGGAAUGAGCUCAAGGUGGACAUAGAUCAUUUCAAAAAAGAUGGAGAGGGCAAUAGAAAGAAGCUUCGCCACCUGAUCGUAAUCCUUGAUGAAGAGUAG
rnacentral:rRNA from 1 species